AACGAGAAUAAAGCGUGAAGGAUAACGUUGCGUCAGCAACGGCCCGUAGGGCGAGGCGAAGCCGAGUCAUCCUGCACGACCCACCA
rnacentral:sRNA from 1 species